AGUGCAAUUGUUGGGUCAUAGAGUAGCUCUAUUUUUAGAGGAACCUACAUACUGUUUUCCAGAGUGGCUGCACCACUUUGCAUUCCCACCAACAGU
rnacentral:pre_miRNA from 1 species